rnacentral:sRNA from 1 species
CCAUUUUGAGAUUUAGUGAUAUUUUUAUGAUGUUGUAGUGAAUCCCCCUAUGCGGAGGGGCUAAGCAACUAUGUGAUAGCCGAUUUCUUCUACGUGCGGACCGCGGUUAGUUGGCCAACGGUUCACCGGGAGGCACCCGGCACUACAACAGGCCCCUGUAGAAAUGCAGGGGCUUUUCCAUUU